AGCAUCAGGCUCACAUUGAGUGUUUGUCUUCAUUACCAUUUCACUGAUCUCUUUUGCUCAAUCGAUAUUCAGCCAGUGUUUCUGUCACAGGUUCAGAUUUCACCACAUUUUCGUGUCUACUUUUCGCUCAAGCGUGGACUAGAACGAAGCUUCCCAUGCAAAGAGGAAGAGGAAUGCGGAGCGUGAAAUCCUUCAGCCGCCUGAUCCGGUCCUGAGACACCGAUCGACCCCAGAGGGAAUGUGAACACAGGAUAUGACCCCUUUGUGCCCCCGAAUCAGAUCUGGAGAAAGAUGUUGGCCUGUGAUGCUGUCCCCCCAGGAAGCUGAGAGGUCUUCAGAAAUCCUGCCUAAAACUCACUGGGUGGUAAUAAUGCCAGCCCAGCAUGGAAAGCCGUUACACAAUGGACAAGCGCUGCUUUGAAAAUGAUGAAGUCGUCAUAACCAUCAUUUAAAGUUACAGGGAAUGGCAGUAAAAAAUAACCUAUGUUUUCGUUUUGAUGUUUUUGACUUAAGAAUUCCAAUUUCAAAUUAGAUUUCAUUUUGGUUCCAGUUUAAGUGUAAUUUCUUAAUAUGGCAUGAACCGAGGCAUUGAAAGAAAGGAAACGGAACCCAUCAGCAGUAACCCGGGUAUCGAGAGGGUGGGUUUCCAUACCGCCAAACGCUGUGGGAGUUCACCCAUCAGCAGUAACCCGGGUAUCGAGAGGGUGGAGGUGCUUUCCAUACCGCCAAACGCUGUGGGAGUUCACCACUAGAUCGACUGGCAGAUCUGCUGGGGCCCAUCGAUUUGAUAUAAUUGUAAAGAUACGUGUUUAUCCUUACAGUGUCCCUAGAGGGAAACUCAAGGUCUCUUCCACAUCUGGGGAGCAACAGAACAGCAGCCGUAGUUGGUACCAGUCACAUACUCAAAGCCGAAUUAGUUAUACAUUGAUUUCCACAGUACACCGUUUCAUAUAUACAAGCAUAUAUGAAAAGGAGCCAGGUACCUAUGCAUGAUAUUUUAUCUUAUGGACAGCACACCUUGCCGGCACCAUUUUGUGGAACAUUUAUUUAUCAGAUGUUUUAUCUAAAGUGACAUGGAGAAAGCAGGGUGAGCCAGUUCCUUGAGCAAUGGGGGAUUAAAGGCCUUGUUCAGGGGCCCGACUAUGACAUCACCCUGCUCACCCUAGGAUUUGAACAGGCUGCCUUUGGUUAGGACAGCAGGAGGAUUUACCCACUAUACACACAAGCUCACUCUGAAAGACUCUGAAAGGUCUGCACAGCACGUACACUCAGAGAGCUCACUCUGACUCUAAAACAUCUACACAGCAUGUACACUGAGAGAGCUCACACUGACUCAGAAACGUCUGCACAGCAUGUACACUGAGAGAGCUCACAUUGACUCAGGAACGUCUGCACAGCACGUACACUGAGAGAGCUCACAUUGACUCAGGAACGUCUGCACAGCACGUACACUGAGAGAGCUCACAUU